GUGAAACUGCGAAUGGCUCAUUAAAUCAGUUAUCGUUUAUUUGAUAGUACCUUACUACUUGGAUAACCGUGGUAAUUCUAGAGCUAAUACAUGCUAAAAACCCCGACUUCGGGAGGGGUGUAUUUAUUAGAUAAAAAACCAAUGCCCUCCGGGGCUCUUUGGUGAUUCAUGAUAACUUAACGGAUCGCAUGGCCUUGCGCCGGCGACGGUUCAUUCAAAUUUCUGCCCUAUCAACUUUCGAUGGUAAGGUAUUGGCUUACCAUGGUUUCAACGGGUAACGGGGAAUUAGGGUUCGAUUCCGGAGAGGGAGCCUGAGAAACGGCUACCACAUCCAAGGAAGGCAGCAGGCGCGCAAAUUACCCAAUCCCGACACGGGGAGGUAGUGACAAUAAAUACUGAUACAGGGCUCUUUUGGGUCUUGUAAUCGGAAUGAGUACAAUUUAAACCCCUUAACGAGGAACAAUUGGAGGGCAAGUCUGGUGCCAGCAGCCGCGGUAAUUCCAGCUCCAAUAGCGUAUAUUAAAGUUGUUGCAGUUAAAAAGCUCGUAGUUGAACCUUGGGCCUGGCUGGCCGGUCCGCCUCACCGCGUGUACUGGUCCGGCCGGGCCUUUCCUUCUGGAGAACCGCAUGCCCUUCACUGGGCGUGUUGGGGAACCAGGACUUUUACUUUGAAAAAAUUAGAGUGUUCAAAGCAGGCCUUUGCUCGAAUACGUUAGCAUGGAAUAAUGGAAUAGGACGUGCGGUCCUAUUUUGUUGGUUUCUAGGACCGCCGUAAUGAUUAAUAGGGAUAGUCGGGGGCAUCAGUAUUCAAUUGUCAGAGGUGAAAUUCUUGGAUUUAUUGAAGACUAACUACUGCGAAAGCAUUUGCCAAGGAUGUUUUCAUUAAUCAGUGAACGAAAGUUAGGGGAUCGAAGACGAUCAGAUACCGUCGUAGUCUUAACCGUAAACUAUGCCGACUAGGGAUCGGGCGAUGUUUCUAUCUUGACUCGCUCGGCACCUUACGAGAAAUCA
rnacentral:rRNA from 1 species